GGUUUCGUCUGCCCUAUGAUCCGCUGGUUCAAUGGCUGCGGUAUACUGACCGUGCAAAGGUAGCGUAAUAACUUGCCUCUUAAAUGGAGGCCCGUAUGAAUGGCAUUACGAGGGCCAAACUGUCUCCCUUUUCUGGUCAACGAAAUUGAUCUGCCCGUGCAGAAGCGGGCAUUACACCAUAAGACGAGAAGACCCUGCGGAGCUUAAGAGACCACGCACACAAACCUAGUAGCCUAACUAAAAGCACAAACAUAAAUUUCUCCCUGCCCCCUCUCUUAGGUUGGGGCGACCGAGGGGCAAAGCCAAACCCCCAUGCGGAGGGGGUCUUAAAAUCACAACCUCUCCCUAAAAACCAAGGGCUCCCGCCCGAACAAGUAGAAGAUCUAGCCAUUAGGACCCGGCAAUACCGAUCAACGGACUAAGUUACCCUAGGGAUAACAGCGCUAUCCCCCUAAAGAGUCCAUAUCGACGGGGGGGUUUACGACCUCGAUGUUGGAUCAGGAUCUCCUAGUGGUGCAGCCGCUACUGAAGGCUC
rnacentral:rRNA from 1 species